rnacentral:lncRNA from 1 species
CACGCCUCAGCUGCUCUUCCUCUUAAAACUGAUGCUGCUCCCUCUCCCAUCGCCAACCUACUGCUGCUCCUUCUUCUUCCCAAACCUUGCUGCUGUUGCUCUUUCCCCACGCCUCUGCUACUCCUCACCCACCAACCUACUGCUACUUCUUCUCCCUCAACCUCUUGCUGCUGCCAUCUCCCUCUCUCUAAAUUUCUGUAGAUUUGAGAUCGAAUGUAAUAUUCAGAUUUGUCUAGUGCUAUGAUAUGUUUAGUUUCAGACUCAAGCUUGUGUGGUUUUAAAUUGUUGAUCGGAAAACUGAAUUGUGGCAUAUGACCCUCUGUUCUUAUGUGUGGUAAUUAGUUAAACCCGUCACUUGUGUGUUGUACUUCUUGAAUAAAGGAGUUCAUCUUGUAGUACCUGUGGUAGCUUUGUACCUGUGAUAUAAAUAUAUAUUUGUAUGGUGAUAUAUUUUUGUCCCUGUCACAUUAUUGUUUCUUCCCUCUGUUAUAUUGUAUGUUAGUUAUAUAUGUUUGUGUGGUGAUAUCAAGUACCUGUGAUGUAUACAUAUGUGAGUGUGAUUGUGAUGUGAAAUUUCUUUCCUUAUUCCGUAAUCUUACUUUUGCCCCUUUUACAUACUUUC